rnacentral:rRNA from 1 species
UACAGAGGGUGCAAACGUUGUUCGGAAUUACUGGGCGUAAAGCGCGUGUAGGCGGCAAGGCAAGUCGGAUGUGAAAGCCCGCGGCUCAACCGUGGAAGUGCACUCGAAACUGCCUAGCUAGAGUCUCGGAGAGGAAGGUGGAAUGCUUGGUGUAGAGGUGAAAUUCGUAGAUAUCAAGCAGAACACCUGUGGCGAAGGCGGCCUUCUGGACGAUGACUGACGCUGAGACGCGAAAGCGUGGGGAGCAAACAGG